rnacentral:lncRNA from 1 species
CUCAGCCUCCUGAGUAGCUGGGAUUGCAGAAGUAGGACCCUUCUUUGAAUGAAACUUAGUAAGAUUCAUAUAAGUAACAGAACCUUCCAGGUCUGAGCUGAGGUGUCAUCUCUGAACACCAGGCUGCUGCACUAACCAGAAGACCCCUCCCCACCUGCAGUGGCCUCGCUGCAUCGUAAGGAUGGAGGAGCUGUUGUCUCCACAGCUGACAGGUGCUUAGUGGUUAGAAGUCUGGUUUUCGCGCGGCUUAGAUCUUUAACAUCUGAACUAGUCCUGUCAACAUAUUUUGUUAUAUUUCUGGUGGCUUUGUCUUUGAUGCUAUUAUAAAUGAUUAUCUUUUAAAAUAAUACUUUGAUGAUAUAUAGAAAUGAAAUUGAUUUAUUUGACUGUAUCCAGCAACCUUUUCAAAUUCUAAUAAAUUGUGUAGGGAAAAAAAAGUCUGGCUUCGGAGUCAGAACGGAAUUGAAUCCUGCCUCCACCACUUCCUACCUAUAUGACCUGGUGAAACUUAUCCCUCUCUGUGACUCAGUUUCCUCAUCUGUAAAAUGGGAAAAUUGAAAGCAACUAACAGGUUUGGGGCCGUUUUGCUUGCUGCUGCUGUGGCUUCAGUGCUGAGGCCUGGCACUCAGCGGGAUGUCAGCCCAGGACUGGAGCUUCUUUCUCAUGGUAUUAUUUUGAAUUUAGAUGAAAAGAGGUAUUCCAGGAGAGCUCCUGGCACAGGGCCUGGCAGGUGGCACAUCCUCAGUAAAUGUGAGCUGCUGUCAGCUGCUGUGUGAGUGCCUGGUGUGGCCCUGUUGUCCCCUUGAGGGUUGGGGGACAAAACAGGCCCUCAGGAAGCCUGCCUGUGUAUUCGGGGGCUGGGGAGAUCUCUGACCUCCUGUCUCCUAGCUCCACCAGCAUCUCUCACCUCCCCCAGCAAUGUACAACCCCUUCUUUUCCCAUAGCUUAGGCCCCUGAGGUACCAGCCCCCCAGCCUAGGGACAGCCCAGUGGCAAACUCCUGGUGACCUGGGUCAAGCUGCUGUUCUCCAAUCCCAACUCGGCUCUUCCCGUGACUUGGCCCCCAGGCCUUGGGUGAGGCUCCGAUGAAAUAACACACAGGAAUGUGCGCUGAACACUGCCAAGCACUGCAGGUGGGCAGGGGCUUUGUGCUCCCCAGCGACUGUUCCUAUCCUGCGGGAAUGGAGGAGACCGACAAAGAAGCCCCACUCCUGGGCUGACAUCCUGCCAGUGCCAGCCGGGCCUCAGCACCAGUGGGUCAGCCAGAACAGCAACGACGAACAAUGAGGCCCCAAACCCGUGGGCCCCCCACUUUCUAUCUUGAAUUUCUCUGUCUUUCCUAGGCCAGCAAUGUUUGAGAGGGAGAGCGAGCUGAAGAUUUCCUGAUUUCAGAUAGGCCUAGAGAAGGAUUGUAAUUUUCUAGUGUGAAAAGGAAGUGGCACAAAGAUGAGGGCAAUGAAGAAGAUGGUUCAAUGGAAGUACCAGGGUCCUGUAAAUAGGGAACGUGUUUUAUGAUCAAACCGUUCUUUGCAUUUUUGGUGAUUUUGAGGUUUAAUUUCCUCUAUGUAGUUAGUUAACUAUUUAACACUGAGAGCAGGGGUAGGGAUAAGGCAAACAACAAAAAAGCCAAAAUGAAACCAACUUCUGUGGGGUUUCCCCACCCCAGGGAGGUGGAGGCUGAGGUAGAACUGACUGAGAGAAUCACCCUCCCUGCACUGUGAUGAAGACACAUCCACACAUCAGGACUACACAGCUGGCAGGUGCUGGCUGUCCAGAGGAGCAAACAGCUUCUUCCUUGUGUUUCUGUGUCUCUUAGUAGAAAUCUGUGCCCUUGGGAGAAAACUGAAUUUGCACCCCUUGAGGCAAACACUUGACCAAAUGAAUUAGGCAGAUGGGUGGAUGGGUGGGUGAAUGGGCAGGAGGUGUGACAGGCAGGAGGCGUGACAGGGAAAGAACACUGUUCUGACAGGCACACACUGCCACAUCUGCCCUCCCAACAACCCCGAUACAGACACUGUUGUUAACCCUCCUUUUACAGAUGAGGAAACUGAAGUUAAUUUGCUCGUGGUAACACAGCUAGGCAAGUGGCUACGUUCAGCUGGAGAAAAGGAAAAUUCUGAAAGACUUUAGGAUACAUCUUAUUCAAAAGCAUUUGGUGAACAUAAAUAUGUACCCAAGGUAUAAUAUUAAGUGAACCAAGCUUGUUAUAAAGCAGUAUGAGUCCUGUCUGAUUCCAACUUUAUAAAAAAUAGAUGCAUAUGUCAAUAAAUGCACAGAAAAGGGUAUACCCUAAAAUGUUAAUAAUGGUGAUCUCUGGGUUAUGACACAAAAUAUUGAUUGGUCUUUGGGCUUUUCUUUAAUUUUAAAAUGUUAAUAGACAUGUAUUAUCUUAAUAAUGGGAGGAGCCACAGAAAAAGUGCUUUUCAAAAACAUGAAAUCAAUAAGCCCAUGCAGGACCUGCAGGGGGCUGCAGUCACCUGGGCCUCAUAGGCUUGGCAAAGGCUUUAGUUAUGCCCUGAUUGGAGGCCACUGGCAUGGAGAAGCUGUAGGUCAGCUAACUGGAACUAGGACAUCCAAUGUGAUUGGUUAUGUGUGCAUAUUUGUCUUUCUUCAUUGGGUCCUAAGUUGCAAGCAGGCGCAAAAAUUAAGGAAGCUGUGAGUCAAUGAAGUCCUGGCUGUUUUUCAGCUGGUUGCUAUAGGGUUGUUUUUUGACUUUCUAGACUGGUUGCUGUAGAGGUGGGUCAGAGUUUUACUUUCAUCUAUGGUCUGGCCAUUGUAUUUGUAUAUUCAGUCUCUUAGUCACCCCUUUUGGUCAUUCGCUUACUUUCAAGAGGUUGGCCAAUUCAAGGAAAGCUGGAAAUCUAGCUCUUUAUCACUCAGAGAUUAUUCAGUAAACUCCAUAUAAAACUGUAUUGCAAAAUAUUCCUGACCUUUUUGUUUUUGUAUCAUCAUGGUGAUUUUGACUAGAGAGCAGAUGUGCAGAAGCUUUUAAGAAUCUAGAUAGCACGCAGCAUCAUGUCCACUCUUACAAAGCCAGAAUAAUUAAUAGUUCCUAUAAGGUGAUUUGGAACCAGGAACCUCAAUUGCCAAAUCAAGGCCAAAAUAACAAAUUUGAUAGAUUAUGGGAUCAACCUUAGCCAAAUAGCUUAUACCAUGAAACAAUAUAUAAUAGUUCCAACUUGCUUGUUUCUUUGAUCCAAGGACAAGAAGUAUGAGCAACGGCACAGACACCAGGAUGACUAAAAGAAAAAAAAAAAAAAAACCUAGGGUAAUGUUAUUGUCUAUCACUGCCCAUGCCAAUGAGUUGAGAUUGUUCUGUAUUUGUAUCUAGGACAAAGGCAAUAUCAUCAAUAACUUCUGCCAGAGUGAGUAUCUUAGUCCAUUCAGGCUGCUGUACUAAAAUACCAUAAUUUGGGUGGCUUAUAAAGAAUAGAAAUGUAUUUCUUUCAGUUCUAGAAACUGAGAAAAUCAAGAUAAAGACGCCAGCAGACUCGAGGCCAGGUGUGAUAGCUCAUGCCUGUAAUCCCAGAACUUUGGGAGGCUGAGGUGGGUGGAUCACCUGAGGUCUGGAGUUCAAGACCAGCUUGACCAACAUGGAGAAACCCCGUCUCUACUAAAAAUACAAAAUUAGCCAGGUGUGGUGGUGGGCAACUGUAAUCCCAGCUACUCAGGAGGCGGAGACGGAAGAAUUCCUUGAACCGGGAGGCGGAGGUUGUAGUGAGCUGAGAUCGCGCCACUGCUCCCCAGCCUGGGCCGGAGCCAGACUGUGUCUCAAAAACAAACAACAAAAUAAAACAAGAAAAGAUUUAAUGGAAGACCUCAAUAAGCCAUUGUAGGCUGUAAAAUUCACCUAGUCCAAUCUUUCAGAGUCGUUUUGGACUUGAUAGUAGCUCAGUACCAAGAUCAUUACAGAAGUUAAUACCAAUAAUAGCCAUUGAAUAUAUUGUCUCUAUAAUGUGGAUCAAAUUCUCAUUUGACUGUACUGACAUUGGUGAUAGAAGGUGCAACCUGAUUUACGCUGGGGUAUAUCAGGUGAUUAAAGUUAAGGCAGGCUAGAGAAAAAGUGAAAGCACUCAAAUUGCUGAUUUGGAGUGAAUGAUAAAGCAAUUUAAUACACCGUCUCUAAAGCAUCCGUUUUCGCCUGUCCGAAGAGUUUUAAAGGAUAUUUGGCCAGAAAAUUUCUACCAUGUGUCAGAAUAUUAAUUUGCAUGUAUGCAUUCAUAGUUCAUGGGAUAUUAUUUUAGUGGUUUUAUUAUAACUGCAUAGAAUGGUUUGCUUCUUACUGAAGAUCUUUCUUUUUUUCUUUCGUUCUUUCUCUUUCUUACAGCCAUAGGUGCUUUAAGUCAUUAAACUUUGAGCACUGUAAAAAUAUCUAAAGAGUGCUUAUUUUUAUAACAUUAAUACUCCAUUUGCAACUUUAAUUAUAGUUACUUCAUUUUUAAAAUCUCAGAAGAUAAUGAAAUAUGUAGAAUUGCCAAAACAAUUGAGAAAGCUCACUGCAUUCGUUUGGUAGAGCUGUCGUAACAAAGUGCCAUGGACUGGAUGGCUUAAACAGAAACUUACUUUCUCACAGUUUUAGAUGCCAAAAGUCCAAGAUUAAAGGUAUUGGUAGGUUUGGUUUCUUCUGAGACCUAUUCAAUUGGUCCAUAGACUGCUAUCGUCUCCCCGUGUCUUUACAUCGUCAUUUCUCUGUAUGUGUCUGUGUGUAAAUGUUCUCCUCUUAGAAGCACGCCAGUCACAUUGGAUUAGGACGCACCCUACUGACCUUAUUUAACCUUAAUUGUGUACUUCUCUAAAGACCUUGUCUCCAAGUAUAGAUACUCCGUGAUAUUGAGGGUUAGGACUUCAACACAUGAAUUUGGCGGGGGUGGGUGGGCACAAUUUAGCUCAUAAAACUCACUAAGGUUUAAUUAGGGCAUGGACUGUAGAGCAUUCUACUGUUAAUUUAGUUUUUGUGUUUGGAAAGCAUUUUGAAACAUAAUGAUUUUUAUUUACAAUUUCAUUAUUUAUAUUUUCAUUAUGUUUAGGGUUGCUUGGAGGUAAAUGAAGAAAGAAGAGUUCCGCAUUAGUGAGGCAGGGAUGUCAGUAUAUAAGGAAUUGGAAAGACAUCAGUGAUAAUGGCAAAAGCUGCUUAUAAAUUAAAUUAAGAGCUUAAUUAAACUGAGGAAAAAAGCAUAUUGCCAAAUUACAUGCAGUUGUUUUGUAACAGCAUUUGUCCACUUGCUGUGCCCUGAGAUUUCCAAGGCACAUUCCUCUACUAAGCGUAUUAUAAGAUGAUUAAAUAUGCAUAGUACAAGUAUGUUAUGGAAGGCUGUGUUAACUGAUAUAGUGGGACCACAAUAGUAUGUGUAAGUGAGAUUUGGAAAAUUUGAUAUGCCAGCAAGGACAAAGAAGUGUUGAAUUUGCAAGUUUAUGCACAUAAUUCUGAGAAUCCAGGCAGCUAUUUCUCCUUUUGAAUUGUUCUCUUGGCUAGGGGAUAAGGGUGAGACACAAUACACAUUUGAAUGUGUCACUGUGUAAGUUACCACUGCAAUAUCUUCUGUAUGUUGAAAAACUGGUACUUAUAUGUACUAAUACUAUCUACCAUGAAAAAAACAAUUAAAAAUUUAAAAUAUCAUGUAAAUUAAAUAAAGUUCAAAUACCACUAGCCAGAAAAAAAUAUUUUAUAUUAUAGUCUGGGGUCAGAAGAGGAAAACCUUAUGUAAAGUAUCAAAAUUAAUUUUUAUUUCAAUUUAAAUGCACCAUCAUAUAACAUAGUUUCAUAACUGAAAUUACAUUUGUCAGAAUUUGAUCUUUUCAUUAUUAAAGAAUUGAGGGAAAAUUGAUGGUUAUAAUAUUGAUAUGCCAUGUAAAUAAACUUUUUUUGAUUGUUAUAGGAAUGAAUUGCUCAACUAAUUGGCCAAUGUCAACCACAUAUCUGUUUCCAUGGAAACUGCAGCAAUAUUACUUCAAAUAGUUUCAUUUGUGAAUGUGAUAAACAAUUUUCAGAUAAAAAAUGUAUACAUACAUA